CCCGGGCCAGCCAAGCAGGCACAAAGGAGAAAGAGAAGCGGAUUAAGAGUGGAUGAAUCCUCGUUGUGUGACUUCUCUGCGCAAGCUUCUUCCUUGACCUCAGAGGAUAAACUUUGCUCUGCCUACCUGGCAGGGUGGCAGUAUGAGUCCAGAGAGACACUGCCCUUCAGAGAGAUGUUGUGGAGCUGGUGACCAAGUCACACCUGGGCUCAGGUUUUAUAUUUGCCAUUUAUGUGGAUGUCCCUCUGGCAAGUGACUCACUUUCUGUGUGCCUCAGCUUCUUCAUUUGUAAAGUAGGGAUAAUAGUAUCUACUUAUAUAUGGUGUUCUCAGAUCAACGUUGUAAUUUAUGAAAAGAGAAGUGCCAGACCACAUGCGGAACCUCAAGAAAUGGGAGCUGUUUUACAAGUUGUUAUCAGGAGGAUAGUACACUUGAGCCUUGAACACGCUGGGGUUAGGGGUGCCAGCGUCCCUGGUAAUAGAAAAUCUGUGUAUGAUUUUUGACUCCCCCAGCUCUUGAGCUGUCCCUCAGUGUCCCUCAGUGUCCCAGUGUCCCUACAGGGCAUUGGUUUCAGGACCCUCAUGGAUACAAAAAUCCACAGACGCUCAAGUCCCCACAUACAAUGUGGAGAUCAGUGCAGACAGUUGGCUAACUCCCGACUCCUAUCAAACACAGGUCAGGUAUUUAGUGAAAGAAAUUAGUGAGUAAGUUGAAACCCAUGUUCCUCCUGGAUUAGCUGUAUCAUUAUUCUUACAACUGCCUUUGUUACCAUCACCAUAGACACUGUGGGGAAAGCCCAUUGGAACCUGUGGAGCCUGUGGAAGGAUGUUGUUACUAUGUAAUGUCUAGGUUGUCCUAAUGAAGUUCAUAAUUGCCCAGGACUUACUGCAGAACAGCUACCCAGAGCUUUUGCACUGCCUGUCAUAUAAACAACUCUGAUUGGCUUCCUGCAAAGUGGCAUGAGAACCACCCCGCCUGCUGCAGAAGCAAAAUCCAUUUCCGCGUGAAACAAGAAAGAAGUCCUCCUGAUUUCUGCUGUAAUGGUGAGACAUUUCUGGCUUCUCAUACAUGGGGCCCUCCCACUCUUCCUUCGUGGCUUCAGUGAUUGACGUGGUGGUAAUCUCUGACCCUACUGGCUUGCCUUCAGAAACAUCCAUCUGGCUUGUUUUACCACAAUCCCCUGAUCCAAAUGUUUCCUUAGUGAUUUUGCACCCACUGACCCCAUCUGCUCCUCCCGGUAAAGUUCCCACUUGCCCACACUGUGCUCAGAGUUGAGCUUGGGUCUGUUCCAAAGUCUUUUUUCUCCUAUUUUACUCCUGAAUAAAGCCUGUUCUUAUCA